rnacentral:lncRNA from 1 species
UUUUGCCUUUGAGGGGUGCAGGGAAGAUAUGAAAAGUGCCAGAGAAUGCAACAUUGUGCAACUAUUCCGUGGGAUCUGGCAUGGUACCCAGCAGCCUGCCCCCAGAGAAGCCCCUCAGGAACGUAGACAAUCAACACCAAGACAGAUGGAGCCGAAGAUGGAAUCAUUAGUGCACAGAUACAAAGCAGAACAGAGGAAGACUAAUAUUGCUCAAAGAUGGAAGCUCCAGGGGCUGUCAGCUCUACCUGUUUUACAGCCAGCAAGACUUGGCUUUGGCACUCUGAAGCUGCUCCUUUACAUGGUCAGGAUGAAAUGGUCAUAUCAAAAUGCCAUUGCUGUCAAAAUGUCAUGUCAAAAUGACCUAGUCAAAAUGUUCUACUAG